rnacentral:rRNA from 1 species
GAUGAACGCUGGCGGCGUGCCUAAUACAUGCAAGUCGAGCGAACAGACGAGGAGCUUGCUCCUCUGACGUUAGCGGCGGACGGGUGAGUAACACGUGGAUAACCUACCUAUAAGACUGGGAUAACUUCGGGAAACCGGAGCUAAUACCGGAUAAUAUAUUGAACCGCAUGGUUCAAUAGUGAAAGACGGUUUUGCUGUCACUUAUAGAUGGAUCCGCGCCGCAUUAGCUAGUUGGUAAGGUAACGGCUUACCAAGGCGACGAUGCGUAGCCGACCUGAGAGGGUGAACGGCCACACCUGAACUGAGAAACGGUCCAGGCUCCUACGGGAGGCAGCCGUAGGGAAUCCUCCGCAAUGGGCGAAAGCCUGACGGAGCAGCGCCGCGUGAGUGAUGAAGGUCUUCGGAUCGUAAAACUCUGUUAUUAGGGAAGAACAAAUGUGUAAGUAACUAUGCACGUCUUGACGGUACCUAAUCAGAAAGCCACGGCUAACUACGUG